AAGUCGUAACAAGGUUUCCGUAGGUGAACCUGCGGAAGGAUCAUUAUUGAAAUAAACCUGAUGGGUUGUUGCUGGUUCUCUAGGGAGCAUGUGCACACCUUGUCAUCUUUAUAUCUCCACCUGUGCACCUUUUGUAGACCUUUCAGGUCUAUGUUGCUUCAUUUACCCCAAUGUAUGUUAAUAGAAUGUUGUGCCCUAUAUAAUAUAUACAACUUUCAGCAACGGAUCUCUUGGCUCUC
rnacentral:misc_RNA from 1 species